rnacentral:rRNA from 1 species
GAUGAACGCUGGCGGCGUGCCUAAUACAUGCAAGUCGAGCGAACGGACGAGAAGCUUGCUUCUCUGAUGUUAGCGGCGGACGGGUGAGUAACACGUGGAUAACCUACCUAUAAGACUGGGAUAACUUCGGGAAACCGGAGCUAAUACCGGAUGAUAUUUUGAACCGCAUGGUUCAAAAGUGAAAGACGGUCUUGCUGUCACUUAUAGAUGGAUCCGCGCUGCAUUAGCUAGUUGGUAAGGUAACGGCUUACCAAGGCAACGAUGCAUAGCCGACCUGAGAGGGUGAUCGGCCACAUUGGAACUGAGACACGGUCCAGACUCCUACGGGAGGCAGCAGUAGGGAAUCUUCCGCAAUGGGCGAAAGCCUGACGGAGCAACGCCGCGUGAGUGAUGAAGGUCUUCGGAUCGUAAAACUCUGUUAUUAGGGAAGAACAUAUGUGUAAGUAACUGUGCACAUCUUGACGGUACCUAAUCAGAAAGCCACGGCUAACUACGUG